rnacentral:rRNA from 1 species
AACGCGAAGAACCUUACCUGGGCUCGAAGCGCAGUGGAAUCCGGUGGAAACAUCGGCGCCCGCAAGGGCCGCUGCGGAGGUGCUGCAUGGCUGUCGUCAGCUCGUGUCGUGAGAUGUUGGGUUAAGUCCCGCAACGAGCGCAACCCUUAUCGUUAGUUGCCAGCGGGUCAAGCCGGGCACUCUAGCGAAACCGCCUGGGAUAACCAGGAGGAAGGUGGGGAUGACGUCAAGUCCUCAUGGCCUUUAUGUCCAGGGCUACACACGUGCUACAAUGGCCGGUACAAACCGUCGCAAACCCGCGAGGGGGAGGCAAUCCCACAAAGUCGGUCUCAGUUCGGAUUGCAGGCUGCAACUCGCCUGCAUGAAGUCGGAAUCGCUAGUAAGCGCAGAUCAGCAGGCUGCGCUGAAUACGUUCCCGGGCUUGUACACACCGCGUGUCU